GAUGAACGCUGGCGGCGUGCCUAAUACAUGCAAGUCGAGCGAACAGACGAGGAGCUUGCUCCGGUGGCGUUAGCGGCGGACGGGAGAGUAACACGGGGAUAACCUACCUAUAAGACUGGGAUAACUUCGGGAAACCGGAGCUAAUACCGGAGAAUAUAUUGAACCGGAUGGGGCAAUAGUGAAAGACGGUUUUGCUGUCGCUUAUAGAUGGAUCCGCGCCGCAUUAGCUAGUUGGUAAGGUAACGGCUUACCAAGGCAACGAUGCGUAGCCGACCUGAGAGGGUGAUCGGCCACACUGGAACUGAGACACGGUCCAGACUCCUACGGGAGGCAGCAGUAGGGAAUUUUCGGCAAUGGGCGAAAGCCUGAUGCAGCCACGCCGCGUGAGUGAUGAAGGUCUUCGGAUCGUAAAACUCUGUUAUUAGGGAAGAACAAAUGUGUACGUAACUAUGCACGUAUUGACGGUACCUGAUCAAAAAGCACCGGCUAACUACGUG
rnacentral:rRNA from 1 species